rnacentral:rRNA from 1 species
UACGUAGGGGGCGAGCGUUGUCCGGAUUUAUUGGGCGUAAAGAGCUCGUAGGCGGUUUGGUAAGUCGGAUGUGAAAUCUCCAGGCUCAACCUGGAGGGGUCAUUCGAUACUGCCAUGACUAGAGUUCGGUAGGGGUGUGUGGAAUUCCUGGUGUAGCGGUGAAAUGCGCAGAUAUCAGGAGGAACACCGGUGGCGAAGGCGGGUCUCUGGGCAACAACUGACGCUGAGGAGCGAAAGCGUGGGGAGCGAACAGG